rnacentral:rRNA from 1 species
CCUACGGGAGGCAGCAGUGAGGAAUAUUGGUCAAUGGACGAGAGUCUGAACCAGCCAAGUAGCGUGAAGGAUGACUGCCCUAUGGGUUGUAAACUUCUUUUAUAUGGGAAUAAAAUGUUCCACGUGUGGGAUUUUGUAUGUACCAUAUGAAUAAGGAUCGGCUAACUCCGUGCCAGCAGCCGCGGUAAUACGGAGGAUCCGAGCGUGAUCCGGAUUUAUUGGGUUUAAAGGGAGCGUAGGUGGAUUGUUAAGUCAGUUGUGAAAGUUUGCGGCUCAACCGUAAAAUUGCAGUUGAAACUGGCAGUCGUGAGUACAGUAGAGGUGGGCGGAAUUCGUGGUGUAGCGGUGAAAUGCUUAGAUAUCACGAAGAACUCCGGUUGCGAAGGCAGCUCACUGGACUGCAACUGACACUGAGGCUCGAAAGUGUGGGUAUCAAACAGGAUUAGAUACCCUUGUAGUC